AGAUUUUUACCGGUCUAUAUAUAUAAUAAAUUACUAAACUAUCGAGCCCGGCUGGAAUACUAUCGAUAGUACGAAGCAUUUGGUACUAUCAAAUUUUCUGCCGUUAGAUUUAUCUCUUUUAUCAUUUGUAUCUGUUCGAUUAUACUAUUCAACUAACCACCCACUCAACCCUAAGAGGCCCAUAUCAUCCUAAUCGUACAUCUUUUAAUUUAAGGAUAAAAAACUUAAUAGCAUCAAGUCAUUGGUGCUAUUAAUAGUAUUCCAAUCUAAUUCCUAAACUAUCCUAUUUAGUGAGGAAUUAUUACGGUAAAAUAGAGAUGAAACUACGAAAUAGCAAAAUAAAAAAUUUUAAAUCACAAAAUAGCAAAAUUGAAAAUGCACUAAAUAAUACAAGAAUGGUUAGUUGAAGUUUUUUUCCGAAAGAACCUUAGAAUAGCGAUAUUGCAAAAAUUCCCAAAAUACUAUUAAAUAUUCGGAAUAAAUAUGACAUUUGAACUGCUAAGUGAUUGCUAAAUACGCAAUUUUAUCAAAUUAUCAUUAUUAAUACCUUCUAAGCAGCGACACU
rnacentral:lncRNA from 1 species